rnacentral:rRNA from 1 species
AACGAACGCUGGCGGCAGGCUUAGCACAUGCAAGUCGAGCGCCCCGCAAGGGGAGCGGCAGACGGGUGAGUAACGCGUGGGAAUCUACCCAUCUCUACGGAAUAACGCAUGGAAACGUGUGCUAAUACCGUAUACGUCCUUCGGGAGAAAGAUUUAUCGGAGAUGGAUGAGCCCGCGUUGGAUUAGCUAGUUGGUGGGGUAAAGGCCUACCCAGGCGACGAUCCAUAGCUGGUCUGAGAGGAUGAUCAGCCUCACUGGGACUGAGACACGGCCCAGACUCCUACGGGAGGCAGCAGUGGGGAAUAUUGGACAAUGGGCGCAAGCCUGAUCCAGCCAUGCCGCGUGAGUGAUGAAGGCCCUAGGGUUGUAAAGCUCUUUCACCGGUGAAGAUAAUGACGGUAACCGGAGAAGAAGCCCCGGCUAACUUCGUGCCAGCCGCCGCCGUAACAC